UACGAAGGGGGCGAGCGUUGUUCGGAUUCAUUGGGCGUAAAGGGUGCGUAGGCGGCGCGGUAAGUCGGGUGUGAAAUCUCGGGGCUUAACUCCGAAACUGCAUUCGAUACUGCCGUGCUUGAGGACUGGAGAGGAGACUGGAAUUUACGGUGUAGCGGUGAAAUGCGUAGAUAUCGUAAGGAAGACCAGUGGCGAAGGCGGGGUCUCUGGACAGUUCCUGACGCUGAGGAGCGAAAGUGUGGGGGAGCGAACAGG
rnacentral:rRNA from 1 species